rnacentral:rRNA from 1 species
UACAGAGGGUGCGAGCGUUGUUCGGAAUUAUUGGGCGUAAAGGGCGCGUAGGCGGUGCGGUAAGUCACCUGUGAAACCUCCUGGCUCAACUGGGAGCUUGCAGGCGAAACUGCCGUGCUGGAGUGUGGGAGAGGUGCGUGGAAUUCCCGGUGUAGCGGUGAAAUGCGUAGAGAUCGGGAGGAACACCGGUGGCGAAGGCGGCCAGCUGGCGCUGACCUGACGCUGAGGCGCGAAGGCGUGGGGAGCGAACGGG